ensembl:snoRNA LOC120102714 small nucleolar RNA SNORA17
CCUGCUCCAGAGCCAUCGCAAGUAUGACUGUUAUGUCACAUGUGCGUCAGUAGGUGGCAGAGAGAAGGGUAUGUCUAUACUCCGUUAUGUCUGAUGAUUAGUAGCUUAGUACU